rnacentral:rRNA from 1 species
UACGUAGGGGGCGAGCGUUGUCCGAAGUUACUGGGCGUAAAGCGCGCGUAGGCGGGGGAUUAAGUGAGAGGUGAAAGGCUGGGGCUCAACCUCAUGCAGUGCCUCUCAUACUGGUUCUCUUGAGGGCGGUAGGGAGAAGUGGAAUGGCUGGUGUAGCGGUGAAAUGCGCAGAUAUCAGGAGGAACACCAAUUGCGAAGGCAGCUCGCUGGGACGUUACUGACGCUGAGACGCGAAAGCGUGGGGAGCAAACAGG